UAGGGAAUCUUCCGCAAUGGACGCAAGUCUGACGGAGCAACGCCGCGUGAGUGAAGGAGGAUUUCGGUUCGUAAAACUCUGUUGUUAGAGAAGAACAGCGCAUAGAGUAACUGUUAUGCGUGUGACGGUAUCUAACCAGAAAGCCACGGCUAACUACGUGCCAGCAGCCGCGGUAAUACGUAGGUGGCAAGCGUUGUCCGGAUUUAUUGGGCGUAAAGCGAGCGCAGGCGGUCAAUUAAGUCUGAUGUGAAAGCCCCCGGCUCAACCGGGGAGGGUCAUUGGAAACUGGUUGACUUGAGUGCAGAAGAGGAGAGUGGAAUUCCAUGUGUAGCGGUGAAAUGCGUAGAUAUAUGGAGGAACACCAGUGGCGAAGGCGACUCUCUGGUCUGUAACUGACGCUGAGGCUCGAAAGCGUGGGUAGCAAACAGG
rnacentral:rRNA from 1 species